rnacentral:rRNA from 1 species
ACGUGUGGCCAAACCUCCCUGUCAAAGCCUGAUCUCGUCAGACCUCAGACGCUACGCAGAGCCAGGCCUGGUUAGUACUUGGAUGGGAGACUGCUGUGAAUACCAGAUGCCGCAGUG